AUUGAACGCUGGCGGCAUGCCUUACACAUGCAAGUCGAACGGUAACAGGUCUUCGGAUGCUGACGAGUGGCGAACGGGUGAGUAAUACAUCGGAACAUGACCAGUCGCCGGGGAUAACUGCUCGAAAGAGCAGCUAAUACCGCAUACGACCUGAGGGUGAAAGCGGGGGAUCGCAAGACCUCGCGCGAGUGGAGCGGCCGAAACCAGAUUAGGUAGUUGGUCGGGUAAAGGCCUACCAAGCCUACGAUCUGUAGCUGGUCUAAGAGGACGACCAGCCACACUGGGACUUAGACACGGCCCAGACUCCUACGGGAGGCAGCAGUGGGGAAUUUUGGACAAUGCACGCAAGUCUGAUCCAGCCAUGCCGCGUACGGGAAGAAUGCCUUCGGGUUGUAAACCGCUUUUGUCAGGGAAGAAAAGGUUCUGGUUAAUACCUGGGACUCAUGACGGUACCUGAAGAAUAAGCACCGGCUAACUACGUGCCAGCAGCCGCAGUAAGAC
rnacentral:rRNA from 1 species